rnacentral:rRNA from 1 species
UACGAAGGGGGCUAGCGUUGCUCGGAAUUACUGGGCGUAAAGGGCGCGUAGGCGGACAUUUAAGUCAGAGGUGAAAGCCCAGGGCUCAACCUUGGAAUUGCCUUUGAUACUGGAUGUCUUGAGUUCGGGAGAGGUGAGUGGAAUGCCGAGUGUAGAGGUGAAAUUCGUAGAUAUUCGGCGGAACACCAGUGGCGAAGGCGACUCACUGGCCCGAUACUGACGCUGAGGAGCGAAAGCGUGGGGAGCGAACAGG